rnacentral:rRNA from 1 species
UUCCGGUUGAUCCUGCCAGAGGCGACCGCUAUUGGAGUUCGAUUAAGCCAUGCGAGUCGAGAGUCUUAGGGACUCGGCAUACUGCUCAGUAACACGUGGAUAACCUGCCCUGUGCUGGAGGAUAACCUCGGGAAACUGAGAAUAAUACUCCAUAGACCACUAUGCCUGGAAUGGUUUGUGGUUCAAAGCUCCGGCGGCACAGGAUGGGUCUGCGGCGUAUCAGGUUGUAGGGGGUGUAAAGGACCCUCUAGCCAUUGACGCGUACGGGUUGUGGGAGCAAUCGCCCGGAGAUGGAUUCUGAGACACGAAUCCAGACCCUACGGGGUGCAGCAGGCGCGGAAACUUCACACUGCGGGAAACCGUGAUGAGGGAACUCCAAGUGUUUGCACUAUGUGCAAUCUUUUCUUGACUUUUAAUAGGUCUUGGUAAUAAGGGGUGGGAAAGACCGGUGCCAGCCGCCGCGGUAAUACCGGCACCCCAAGUGGUCGUCGCUUUUAUUGGGCCUAAAACGCCCGUAGCCUGUUUGGUAAACCCGUGGGUAAAUCAACAUGCUCAACAUGUUGACUUCUGCGGAGACUGCCAGACUAGGGACCGGGAGAGGUGUGGGGUACUCAUGGGGUAGGGGUAAAAUCCUGUCAUCCCAUGAGGACCACCUGUUGCGAAGGCGCCACACU